AGCUUUGCGCAGCGACAGCAUUGUAGCCUAUGAGGUUUAUCUGAGGCGCGAUUAUUGCUAAUUGAAAACUUUUCCCAAUACCCUGCCAUGAUGACUUGAAAUAUAGUCGGCACUGGCAAUUUUUGCCAGUCUCUAUGGAGA
ensembl:snRNA U4 U4 spliceosomal RNA